GGGACAUAAAAAGCUGCCGCCCGUGCUCCUCCCUCAACCCAUAACAUGAGCAUCGCGCUGUGACCGCCCACCGUGAACUAAGAUGGAGAAUAGCGGCCACCACGAUUUUGAACACCCACUAGAAGACCGCCAUCUACAUGUCGCCUUGGUGGUUCCGUGGGGAGUAUGGAUCCCACCCGUAGUUCCCCGGAGCGCAGAUGAGGUCUCAUCCAUGGGGAAUUUCUCAUCGGCGUUCAAGAUCCGCCACCGCCCGCUCUCCACCAUGGACCGGACAUAGGGCUACGUGAUAGUCAAAACUGAAGCCGAACGUUCCCAGAAAGAAAC
rnacentral:lncRNA from 7 species